UACGGAGGGUGCAAGCGUUAUCCGGAUUCACUGGGUUUAAAGGGUGCGUAGGCGGGCAGGUAAGUCCGUGGUGAAAUCUCUGAGCUUAACUCAGAAACUGCCAUGGAUACUAUUUGUCUUGAAUGUUGUGGAGGUAAGCGGAAUAUGUCAUGUAGCGGUGAAAUGCUUAGAUAUGACAUAGAACACCAAAUUGCGAAGGCAGCUUACUACACAAAUAUUGACGCUGAGGCACGAAAGCGUGGGGGAUCAAAACAGG
rnacentral:rRNA from 1 species